GCCAGUUCUCUUCUCUCUCUCUCAUUUUUUUCGUUGCUCUCGCUCUUCUCUCCAACCCUAAAAACCCCCAAGACUUCAACCCAAAAUUGAAGUCCAAUACUCGCAAAUCUCGGAAACACAAAGAAGAAGCACAACCUACGCAGAGAAGGCUACAUAUCAGCAAUGUACUAAAAAUCGCUAGGUUAGACAGGCGGGAGAGGGGCGCCUAGGCGCCGACUAGUUGGCCGACUAACGCCUAGGCUACUUGGCUAUCUAAUUUAGGCAUCGGACCACCGCCUAGCGCCGAGGCAGAGACCAAUCAGCCGCCUUUUAGCACUGCAUAUAAUUCCCAACAAAGUGGCAUCCGGACAAUUUUGGGUUUCCCAGCAUUUGGAGAUUUCGCUCUUUGAGAAGAACGUGGUACCAUGGCACUAUGGCAGGCGAGGGAGAUCCAUAAAUGAAAGACAAGAGCAAGGCUCUCUCCUCAGAGGUUUUUUCUCGCUACCCACUUUUACGCUGGGAUCAGUACUACCGUGGGCAAGAGAGAUGCAUGUGGGUUAAGCCAUUCCCAUCCCAAGUGGUGGCCCAAUUCGGCCUGGCCCGGUCAGGAAGAGAUUCACAUUGAGACUACUGCUAUCUGGGAAUGAUUUCCGGGGUGUGUGUCGGCCUACAACUCUUAUGAUUUUGGACUAGAUGAGAUAAGCUUAAGCUUGGUUAGAUUAUGGUCUGGUAUUUUGAAUUUUGAAAUUGUGUCGUGUUGGUCUAUUUUGUCUACUUCUUGGAUUUGGGCUUGAGGCUUGAGAUAUGAAUGUUUCACUCACUACAACAAAUACUACUUUUAAUAGCAUAAGUUAAUAGCGUUUUUUUUAAAUGCUAUUGUAGAGAGGAAAUUAUAGCGUUGAACCAUUAAGUCUAAAGGAAACACUCGCGCCCUAAUUUAUUAUAGCGUUCCAGAAGUCUUCAACAACGUUCCACUCUUUUUCAAAAUGAAAGACUGCAUUCCACGCUUCCACCAAAAUUAUAAGCGCCAAUUGUUGCCCCCAAAAUCGCACUCUGCCCUUCCUGAAAAUUUCAAUCGGUUCCACCAAAACUAUAGGCACCAGAUCUGCCAAUUGUUUCGUGCGAGUUGCCGCAAGAUUUCUGUGCAAACUGGUGCUGGUUUCUAAUGGAUCGAUCUUUUAGGUAUUCUAGGGUUUUAAUCAAGAGGAACAGGUUUGUCCAUUGUUCUCUAUUUCUCCUAAUUUCCAAUCGAUUAACCUCUGUUUCUUAUUAAUCGCCUCAUCUUCUUCAUACUUCUGCUUCCUCAUUCCAUAGUCAGAGGAGAAUCAAAGCAAUAUUCGGUAAUAUUGCUCCAGUUGAAGCAAAUAUUCAUUGCUUGGAGAAUCCUUACCAGGUUUGAUUUGAUUUUUUCAUUCAGUUGUUGCCCAAAUACAAGGCUAGGGUUUUAAUCAGCAUGUAUUAGUUUGUGAUAAGUGAUAACCAUCUAAGGAUUUUCACAGAUACAAGGCUAGGGUUUUAAUCGGCAUGUAUUAGUUUGUGAUAACCAUCGAAGGAUUUGCACAGAUAAUGCACUUAAAGGGUUUGGAUUUAAUUUAUCGAAGUAUCAGUUUUCAUUCCGAAAAAAUAUUGGAGCUUUUGUGUUGACUCAUUCCAAACAAUUCUCUAUUUUUCUUGAAAUUCUAUAUUUGUAAUUGAUACUGUAUUGGGGCUUUUGUUUAGGUUUUUGGUGGUCUAAUGAUUUUUGCAAAAGGAAUUUUUAACAAAAACAAAGAGAAAUUCUGAAAAAUUCCCUUGCUAUUUAUGACUAAUGACCUCGUAUUGGUGAAUAUCAGAAGUAUUCUGCAUAUGACUUAGUUGAUUGGCUUCUAUUGAAACAAAAAGUAAAAGUUUUGGAGAGAAAACACAUCAGAGCUAGAUGGUGAACAUCGUAAUAUGCACUUUGACAUCGCGUUGCUAAUAAUUUUGAAGUAGCUUCACCAUUUCUGCCGAGAUUUCGAGAUGAUUUUGUUUGAACGAGAGCAACAACUUAUAUCUAUUUCUCUCUUAGUUUAUAUCUGCUGCUUAUCGUCUAAAGGGAAUGGAAUCGAUUGGGUCUUAGGUGUAUUGGUUAGGAUUAUUAGGAAAUGGAAUCGAGUCAUGGAUUUAAUAAACUAUAACAAGAUGAGUUAUUAGUGCUAUCCGUGUCCAUCAUAGUCCGGCUAAUGUGGUUUUUUUUUUUGUUACAAGUGCUUCCUUGUGUUUGUAGAUAUGCCUCAAUGAACUAUAUUAGUAUAUUGUUGAUUUCAUAGUUUCCUGUUAAUGAAGUUCUGAUUGGCUAAUUUAUAUGAAUUCAAAUGAAAGAAGAUCCUAAUUUUGCUCUGUUAUUUUGUCAUUCUGUUCCAUAGGCUUGGCUUAUGGUAACCAAUUUCUGUAAUAAGCUUAAGCUAUUCGGAACAGACAAUGUGUGUCAAGCUCCCGUACCCUUCCUUACAUGUGGCCCAUUGCUCUCACAUGAAGAGCCAGACAAAAUGAAGGCGCAGAUUAUGGGGAAACAACUGUUGCUGCUGUAGCUGCUGCCACUGCGGCUCGUUCACCACGACUAUCUGUGGUAUUCUCGUCGAAAGAUGAUAACGGUAACAGUCCACUGCAGAAACUUCAGCCACCAUGUUUCUAGAGUGCUGAAAGGCUUCUCACAAACUCCUGAAGUGCAAAAUGGAACUUACAACCCUGAAGUACUAACUAGCUAGCCAAAAGCGUCAAUGGGCACGCUUUCAGUUGCAGUCCCUGGAUCAUAGGCCUUUGAAAGAGCAAUCAAGGCUUUUUGAGAGCUUUGUGGUUGUUGGACUUCACCCUAAUUGUGAUAUUCAGGCACUUCAAAAGCAGUACUUCGGUCGAAAGUCUGAAGGUUCGGGUAAAUUUCGAUGUGGUCAGCAUCAGUCACGUGUAGAAUCUAUCGUUGAACCACAGGUACUGAUUCUUUUAUGGAAAACUUGGAACAUAGUUUAAGACAAUUGAACUGUUUUGAUAUGUGAUGCCUUCUGAUAUGUUUUGAUAUAUGCAUGUUUUUUCAGUUUUCACCAAUGGAGAAAAAGUACUGGGUACCAUGACUAAUAUGUUCAACCAAGUGAACUCCGCUUAACAAAUAUCUGUCUAUAAUCUAUAUUGUCCAAAUCCAUUAUGCUUUCUAGACUAGUAACUUAUUGGCAUAAUAUUUGUGUGUGUACACCUACAUGUUUCUUUCUUUCUCUUUUCUAUUCUAGCAUAAUGAUUGCUAGGUGAAAGAUAUGUAAAAUGAAGUUUUGAUAGUUCAUAAGCGGUGAAAGUACUUUACUAAGUAAUGCAACAAAGUUUUGAUAAAAAGAUCAUGUCAUCCUGGUGAAUGUCCGCUUUGCAAAGUUUUGAUAAAAAGAUCAUGUCACUGUGGUUCCAUGGUUCAUGUUUUUGAGUGCCUAUACUACAACAGCUUGCCCAAAAAAGAACAGAUUGCUGUCUGUCUUAUGGAGGGCCUUGCCAUCGGUAUCCAUGCUUUUUCUGCUCUUUUUUUUUUUUGUCUUCUCACCUUUUUCUCUUUCUUCGGAUCGUUUGGUAUCCCCCACCGUCAACCAAAGCAGGAAAGCUUAUUAUAUCAUAUCUCCGGCCUUGUGGUAUCCUUAAUAAAUCAGAAAAGUUUAUUUUAUCAAGUAGAUACAGCCAGCUGAAUAGAAAGCAUAGAAGACUCUUAUGGUCAAAUUAUAAUGAGGUUACUCUUUGAUUUAUUUUUUUGUGUUGGCAUGCAGGAAAUUACCUUAUUGUAAAUGUCCAUGCCCGGAGAUAUGUCAU